rnacentral:rRNA from 1 species
UGAAAGCGGGGGAUCGCAAGACCUCGUGCUCAUAGAGCGGCCGAUAUCUGAUUAGCUAGUUGGUGAGGUAAAGGCUCACCAAGGCUUCGAUCAGUAGCUGGUCUGAGAGGACGACCAGCCACACUGGGACUGAGACACGGCCCAGACUCCUACGGGAGGCAGCAGUGGGGAAUUUUGGACAAUGGGGGCAACCCUGAUCCAGCAAUGCCGCGUGAGUGAAGAAGGCCUUCGGGUUGUAAAGCUCUUUUGUCAGGGAAGAAACGGGAUGUCCUAAUACGAUGUCCUAAUGACGGUACCUGAAGAAUAAGCACCGGCUAACUACGUGCCAGCAGCCGCGGUAAUACGUAGGGUGCAAGCGUUAAUCGGAAUUACUGGGCGUAAAGCGUGCGCAGGCGGUUAUGUAAGACAGGUGUGAAAUCCCCGGGCUUAACCUGGGAAUGGCAUUUGUGACUGCAUAGCUAGAGUGUGUCAGAGGGGGGUAGAAUUCCACGUGUAGCAGUGAAAUGCGUAGAGAUGUGGAGGAAUACCCGAUGGCGAAGGCAGCCCCCUGGGAUCACACUGACGCUCAUG